rnacentral:rRNA from 1 species
GACGAACGCUGGCGGCGUGCUUAACACAUGCAAGUCGAACGGAAAGGCCCUGCUUUUGUGGGGUGCUCGAGUGGCGAACGGGUGAGUAACACGUGAGUAACCUGCCCUUGACUUUGUGAUAACUUCAGGAAACUGGGGCUAAUACCGGAUAGGGGCUCCUGCUGCAUGGUGGUGGUUGGAAAGUUUCGGCGGUUGAGGAUGGACUCGCGGCUUAUCAGCUUGUUUGUGGGGUAGUUGCUUACCAAGGCUUUGACGGGUAGCCGGCCUGAGAGGGUGACCGGCCACAUUGGGACUGAGAUACGGACCAGACUCGUACGGGAGGCAGGAGUGGGAAAUAUUGCACAAUGGGCGGAAGCGUGAUGCAGCAACGCCGCGUGCGGGAAGACGGCCUUCGGGUUGUAAACAGAUUUCGACUGUGACGAAGCGUGAGUGACGGUAAUGGGUAAAGAAGCACCGGCUAACUACGUG